rnacentral:rRNA from 1 species
GUUGAACGCUGGCGGCAGGCUUAACACAUGAUAGUCGAACGAGUGGCGGACGGGUGUGUAAUUCUUGGGAAUCUGGCUUAUGGAGGGGGAUAACGACGGGAAACUGUCGCUAAUACCGCGUACCAUAGGAUGAACCCAUGUGGGUUUCGGUAGUUGGUGGGGUAAUGGCCUACCAAGCCGACGAUCGCUAGCGGGUAUGAGAGGAUGACCAGGCACACAGGGGCUGAGCCACGUCCCAGAAUCCUACGGGAGGCAGCAGUAGGGAAUACUCAGCAAUGGACGGAAGUUGACCGAGCAACGCCGCGUGAGGGAAGAAGGUGUUCGUAUCGGAAAGAUCUGUUGUAAGAGAAGCGGUAUCUUACCAGAAAGGGACGGCUAACUACGUGCCAGCAGCCGCGGUAAUAC